CAAAAAAGCAUAUUCCAACAGGGCUUUGGAGAGGAUAAAGUCCAAGAAGUACUGAAACCAAGAGUCACUUAAAUUUUUAAGAAUCUUCAUUUUAAAGAUAAGUAGUAGUCCACAUAGGAAUGCAUGGUAUUCAAUGAUGAUUUCCUACAUUUAUUCAAGGGAUAGGAACAUGCUAUUGUGAUCAGAAAGAAAAAUCAAACAAAAAGAAGAGGCCAAAGGAAAGGAUAUGGUCAGAAAAAAAAAUCAAACAAAAAGAAGAAGGUGAUAAAGGAAAACAGACGAUAGUGGUUCCUAUCAAGAUCUUAGAGAAAGAGAACAUUAAGUAGGGAGACAAAUUGGAGUGAUAUCCAACUAAUCAGAAGCUGGAUGUAGCUGAAGGACUUCUUGUUCUAAUUUAUCUGGCUGUGUCUUCACUGAGCGGAAGAAGAUAUGGUGGUUGAAGUUACAAGGACUCCUUGUUGUAACCAGGAGCCGAUCUUGAUCAAUGGAGCUACAUAAAGCAUGUUGAAAUGCAAAGAAAGAUAGAAGGAGCCUGUGGUACUGAAAACAUUGAGGAUUCUCUGAACCAGCCUUGGCUACCCCACCAUUUAACUUGAGAAAAA
rnacentral:lncRNA from 10 species